rnacentral:lncRNA from 1 species
UGGGGGAGGGGCUCCUGAGAUGGGGGAGGGGGCUGGAGGGGGGGGGGGGCCCGGGGGGGACUUUGGGGUUUUGGGGCUCCUUGAUCCAUUUUUGGGGUUCUUGGGGUGGUUUUUGGAGAUUUUUGUGUUCCCUGACCCAUUUUUGGGAGGUCCCUGACCCUUUUUUGGGCUCCCUGACCCAUUUUCGGGGUUUUUGGGGUGGUUUUUAGAGGGUUUUCUGCUCCCUGACCCAUUUUUAGGUGUUUUUUGGGGGUUUUUGGGCUCCCUGACCCCUUCCUGGGGGUCCCUGACUCAUUUCCGGGGGUCCCGACCCAUUUUUGGGGGUCCCUGACCCAUUUUUGGGGUGGUUUUCGGAGGUUUUUGGGCUUCCUGACCCAAUUUCAGGGUGGUUUUUGGGGGUUUUGGGGUGGUUUCGGGGGGUUUUUGGGCCCCCUGAUCCAUUUUUGGGGUUCUUGGGGUGGUUUUUGUGCUCCCUGACCCCUUUCCGGGGGUCCCUGACCCAUUUUCGGGGUGGUUUCUGGGGGUUUUUGUGCUCCCCGACCCCUUUCCGCGGGUCCCUGACCCAUUUUUGGGGGUUUUGGGGUGGUUUUUGGAGGUUUUUGGGCUCCCCGACCCCUUUCCGGGGGUCCCUGACCCCUUUCUGGGGUGGUUUUUGGGGGUUUUGGGGUGGUUUUGGGGUUUUUUGUGCUCCCCGACUCCUUUCCGGGGCUCCCUGACCCCUUUCCGGGGGUCCUUGACCCAUUUUUGGGGUGGUUUUUGGGGGUUUUUGUGUCCCUGACCCAUUUUCAGGGUGAUUUUCGGAGGUUUUUGGGCUCCCUGACCCAAUUUCGGGGUGGUUUUUGGGGGUUUUGGGCCCCCUGAUCCAUUUUUGGGGUUCUUGGGGUGGUUUUUGUGCUCCCCGACCCCUUCCCGGGGCUCCCUGACCCCUUUCCGGGGGUCCCUGACCCAAUUUCGGGGUGGUUUUUGGGGGUUUUUGUGGUCCCCGACCCCUUCCCGGGGCUCCCUGACCCCUUUCCGGGGGUCCCUGACCCAUUUUUGGGGUGGUUUUUGGGGGUUUUUGUUCUCCCCGACCCCUUUCCGCGGGUCCCUGACCCAUUUUUGGGGGUUU